AGCCUGAUGCCACGUCUCUGGUAGCUAUGUGCAUUAACCUGAGAUGCUAUGAUUAGGCUGAAACAGAGUUGUUUCAAUGUUUCACAUGUUGAUAGGAACCUGAGGACUGCCUCUCUAUCUGUCCACAGAGCCGGUUUCUGUGAUUACAUUU
rnacentral:snoRNA from 1 species